GUAGGGGGCGAGCGUUAUCCGGAAUCACUGGGCGUAAAGGGCGUCUAGGCGGUCCAGUAAGUCCUGCGUGAAAGCUCCCGGCUCAACUGGGAGAGCGCGUGGGAGACUGUUGGGCUAGAGACUCGGAGAGGGGUGUGGAAUUCCCGGUGGAGUGGUGAAAUGCGUUGAGAUCGGGAGGAACACCAGUGGCGAAGGCGGCACCCUGGCCGAGUUCUGACGCUGAAGCGCGACAGCGUGGGGAGCAAACGGGAUUAGAUACCCCGGUAGUCCACGCCGUAAACGAUGACAACUAGGUGUCGGGGGUCCAAGGACGCUCGGUACCGCAGCCAACGCGGUAAGUUGUCCGCCUGGGGAGUACGGYCGCAAGGCUA
rnacentral:rRNA from 1 species